UUUAUAUUAUUAAUAUUUUUAUACACACAUUUUUACAAAUACAUUAUCUAGAUUUUCAUUAUUUAGUAUUAUUUAAUUAUUAUUAUUACUAUUAUUUAUUAUUAUUAUUCCUACUAUUAUUUUAAUAACAGCCUAAUAAAGUCACUCUGCCUAAUUUAUUUAUUUUAUUAGCAUAAUCUUAUACAAGCCAUUACAAUUUUAGCCCAUUUUAUUACAAACAUAGUCAAUGUGAGACACAAUUUAAAAAUUUCCACCUUUAGAUCUCAGCCAUUGAUCAAAAUGAAUCCAACGGCUGAGAUCAAAACUUUUCUUUCUUUCCUUUUAUACACCCAAAACACGACCCAAACCCUUAACGCCGCCGAGCUGCUCCGCCACCUCCGUCCUCUCCUCCCGUCAACGAGCCUCGCCGGAUGUGAUUACCGGUGGGCUCUGCAUCUUCUCCGCCACCAAACGCCGACGCUCGUCCAUGGCUCCAUCUCCCAUCGCCACCGCCGCCCCUCUACUCCUCCGACGGACAACCAACUAUGCAAAGCCGCCCUCCGCCGUCAACACCAACCGGCGAUUUAGCGCUAGCGCCGCUCCGUUCUCCGCCUCCUAGAUUUGGCGUAAACCACCAUGUCGCUUCCUCCUCCGUCUAUCGCCGGCUCCGCGUCACCAGCCCCAAUCAACGACGACGACAACAUCACCAGCCGGAGGCACCAGUCAAACAACCAAGGAAACCCGUCGCCCCUUUCUCCGAGCUCCUUCUGCUCACACCGCCACUCCAACGCCCUAGACUCCGAAGCAUUUACAAGUACUUUACGGAUUUACCGAUGUAAAUCCGUCGCAGUUUUGUUUUGGUAUUGAGCUUUACGUGAAUCUGCCCCUAUUCUUCUCUUCUCUUCUCUUUUAUUAUUUUCUUUUGUGUCUCUUUUGGUCAUAGACUCAAAAUUGAUAACGUAGGCCUUUGAAUUUUGGUUCAGUUGCUAAUCAUUUACCCAUCUAGAUCAGAAUUGGUGAAAAUGCCCAAAUUCUGCAUGUACUUGAUUUUCACACCGAAUAUGGAUGCCGAUGUGUGCCUAUUGUUUGUUAUAUAAUAUGGAUUGAGAGUUCUUAAAUGUUGAUUAAUUUGGAAUGACUGUCUAAUUGCAUAAUUUUUGGUUGAACCCUAAUCUUUGAUCUGAGUGCUGAGUAGUUGUUAUGAGUUUUUCUCUAAGGAAGUAUCGAGUCUGGCCGUUAUUACGAUACUUGAUUCGCGUGAAUUUGAAAUUAUAAGUCUUGUGAUAGAAUAAUUUUCGUUCUUAAAUUUUGAUGCAAUUUUAUUUUGAUUUCAUACGUAAUUUUAAUGAUUUGAGUUGGAUUUUUGUGCAUAAUUGAAUUUUUGUGGUUAAGGCAUAUUUGUAUAAUCAAUUCUUUUAUUUUUAUUUGGUUACUGCUAUUACCUUUAAUAUAUUUUAGGUCUUUUCACUUGUUUUAUUUAUAGAAAAUACCAUAUGUCGUCCCAAUCUAUUCUACGUUUGAUAGAUUUCCCCUUUGUUAUUUAUGGCAAACCCUUCAUCAGAUUGAUUUAAUAUGCCUUAUUUGAGAAUUAUAAAAUUGUGUAAUUGAUAUUUUUCCUUCUCCUUGAUUAACUCUGAUUGCCUGUUUAGAAUAGUUUGUUUCAUUUCUCAUCAUUACUGAUUGAUUCUUCCGUAUUUUCUUCCUUUAAUUUCACAAAUUCCUCCACUAUAUAAACAAUGCCUUCUUUCAAUUAACCGACAGUUCGACAAUCAGAAUUACUACUACUACUCUCUUAAACAAAAUACUCCCUCCGUUUCAAAGAUAUUUCCUUUUUUGACAAUACUUUAAUUUCAAAUUUCUAUGUGGCAUGUUUAGGACCACAAAAUUAAAGGGCAUUUUGGUACAUUUGAUACAAUUUUAAUUUAAGGUCACAAAUUCAAAAGUCUCUUUAUUUUCUUAAACUUUGUAUCAAGUCAAAGUAGGUCAUUCUUUUUUAAACGGAGUAUCAGUUAUUUUAAUAUAAAGCAAUUAGAUACUCUAAAGGUUUUUUGGUUUUCCUUAAAGGCUAACUGGAAACGUCUUGCAUAUUUCAUUGUCACGAGUGCGUGGCUUUUAUUAUUCUUAUUAUUUCUCUUACUGCUGUUCACUGGUAAGUUCUCGAAACGAUGUAAUUUUCAUUCUGUGUGUGUUGACUGCAUCACGUGGUGAAAGCCCUUUAGAAAGCAUGUCUUUAGGGAUAUUUCGAUGUUGUUAUUAUAUGUUCCUGUUUGCUUGCCAUUAUAUCUUAUCUGGCAGAUUUAAAUAGACAGUUAUGGGGUUCCAAAGAGUCACCGGGAUAUUCAUUAUAUCUUAUCUGGCAGAUUCAAAUAGACAGUUAUGGGGUUCCAAAGAGUCACCGGGAUAUUUAUAAUUAGAUGGUAUUAGUCCUACUUAGUUUGUUUUCCUAUUAUUUGAUUUGUAAUAUUUUUGUAAAGACAUUAUUAUUGAUGUAAUAAUAAAAUUUGGGGACUGCUUGGGGGCGGGGAUUUAUGUGCUCUGUGAAUAAUGUAGGUAGGCACAACAUAGGAUUAUGUGAUACGUGUUACGUGAAUUAUUUAUGCACACAAUUGUAAGACUCCUUGAACAUAUGGAUCGUUUAGAUGCUUAAGGUUUAUUUAUUAAUUAGCAUGUAAUCUUUAACUUUAGGAUUUAAUUGAAUUAGGCAUUCUAAAUUAAAGCAUCAAGCAUGUCAUUCAUUCUAUGUUAGUACGAAUUUAAGCAUGGUAGUGAUUUUGAGCAUGUCGAUUAUUAAGUUUGUCGUAUGUUUAACAUUAAAAUAAACUUGUCAGACGGUUUUUUUUCAGCGUAUUCACACUAAGUUCCUGCAUGUUAGUUCAUUCUCCAAAUUAAAAUAUAAUUUCAGCAUAAUAAAUCAACUUUCAGCAUGUUAGUUUCUGGCAUAAUUUUAGUAUGGGAAUAUAAAUUUCCUGUACUAUAUUCAGCAUGUUAAAACAAUUGCCCAUUAAAACAAAUUACAGCAUUAUUAUGAACAUGUUUCUACACAGUAAAAAUUUUCAGCAUUGCUAAAACCUGUUUUUGCACAAUUUUAGCAUAUCAAAACUACUUUCAGCAUAUUAGUAUUAAAUUUUAAGCAUGUUAACAUUAAAUUUCUGCACUAUUAACAUAUUUUCCAGAAUGUUAAAUUUUUGGGCAUUUUUUUAGCACGUUAUUGCAUUAUAUUCCUGCACAUUAACACAACUGUCAACAUAUUAAAAUAUAGAUUCUAAAACAUUUUUAACAUGUUAAAUACUGGAUUUAAGUGCAUUAUUGGGUUUCUUAGCAUGUUGAUGCAUAUUAAUAUUUUGUUAGUUUCUUACAUGAGUUUAUAACACUUCACAAUGGAAUUCGUAAGCACAACACAUUUACCGCACUUUUGACACCCUCUUUUAACAACAUGACAACAUGGGUUACACACGAAUCACAGUUAUCUUGUGUCACACUCACAAUUGUUGAACACUUAGAUAUCAUGCCCAUAGGUUAAUGACAUCAAAAUAAUUAACUAUUUGUCUUUGCAUGUUAAUCACAUUAAUCAACGUUAAUUAACCAAGAGGUUAACUUGGAACAAUUAUUUGCUACGUGAUGCCCUACUUGUUACGAGCUUCGAGUCCUAGGCAAUAUUGCUUUAUUUCGUCUAGAUCACAAAAUUAAAAUAGCAAAGUGCCUCUUGGACGAUAGGUGGGAUGAUUAGUAUGUCUAAAAAACGUUAGUUUUAUCCUUGUCCUAGAACAUCUUUAGACUUGAAAUUCAGCCUAGGUGGGGUAGGGUGGGUAGUCAUUCGGAAGUUAUGAUCCCAACAAAUAUUGACAGUAAGACUAAUGAUAUUGUCACUAGUCUAAUAGUUCGGCCGAUGGGUCGGAUGAUGAUUAAACAAGUUGGGGUUCUGAUUCGAAUAAGAUCGAAACAUUUCUUUGUUUGAUUUGGAUGAGUUUUCUUUUCUUUAUUUACUUUAUAUGUUUAUUUGGGGUAGUUAGUUUAUUACAUAAGUAGUUCCCUUGUCAUUUCUUUUUCCUCUCUUAUCUUAUUAUAUGUUUUGAACACUUAGAUAAUUAACAAUUAGAAAUAAUAAAAUAACAUGUUUUGUUCAUUAACUAUUUUAUCACUUAGUUAAAUAUUAAAUUAAUAAUAAAAUGAGAGACUUUAUUUGAUCACAUAGAAUCCCCACAUAAAAUAUGAAUUCAGCUGAAAACCACCUUUGUGGACCUCGAAAGGUGCUUAACACCUUCCUUUCGAGGUAAUUUGAAUUCUUACCUGAAUUUCUGGUGAACUAAGACAAAACAACAAAAUAGUUUUGUAGUAGCCUAGACCGGCGUCCUAAUGCACCCUAAUUCGUUAGGUGGCGACUCUUCAUAUACAUUCCUUAAACAAGCCCAAAAAGAAUUUGUCAUGUCGAAUCUCGCUUUUCGUGAGAAAAACAGGGUGCGACAGAAUGACAACUCUACUGGGGAGAUUUUAGGUUCUAAUCAUUAUGAAUUUGUGUUUUAUGUGGGAUUCUCUUUAUUUGUUUUUAUGUUUCUAUGUUUGCUUUUGACAUAAUUUAUUUUCUAUAUGUUUUUGUUUUAUUGUUUAUUCACAUCAUGAUUUAUUUGCCUCUUCUCCUUCGCUAUUUUUUAUGUGUUAUUCCUGUGUCUCCAUGUCUACUUUCGCUUUUAUUGGUGAUUAAUUUACACAUGUUAUUCCCUUCUUCUUUCCCUUUUUUUUUGUGUUUCUCCAUGUCUACUUUCGCUUUUAUUGGUGAGUAAUUUACACAUGUUAUUCCCUUCUCCUUUCCCUUUUUUAUAUGUUAUUCAUGUUUCCCUAUGUCUAUUUUUGCUUUUAUUGGUGAUUAAUUUAUGCAUGUUAGUCCCUUCUCCUUUUCCCCUUUUUUACUUGUUAUUCAUAAUUCUGCAUGCCUACCUUUUCUUUUAUUGGUUAUGUGCUUUAGUGUUUAUUUUCAUAUUGCUAAAGCAUGUUAUUGUACGUUGCUAUGUGUUACUGCUUUAUAUAAUUGGCAUUCCGCUCAUACUUUCCUCCACUUGGAACCUCCUUUGUUUUCUUUUACGAACGGUUACGUGAAUACACGAACAUUCUUUUCUAAAACACCCUUCAGAAAAUGUCUUAUGGAUUGGUCGAUCAGCGGUGCAUUUACAGCCACAAGACUUUUCCACUCUCAAAUUUUUCACUUGAGGGAGCCUUGUCAAAACCACUCUUACUCUUAGAACCUAAUCGUUUAUCCCUUUACUAAGGAAUAAACAUUCUCAAAACCUAGGAUGUCAUGUUAGAAAACUUGGCCCUAAGUUUUAAGGGAUCCGAUGAUCCCGAGAAGAACGACUUACUAUCUAUGUGCAUUUUUGAGAGAUAAUCAUGCCAAAUAAUAGCAUUUUCUCUUUGGGGGAUAGGAUAAACUAACACUUUAUUUUACAGAUUUAAUGGUCAUCCUAACUUCAUACCCA
rnacentral:lncRNA from 1 species